GGCGCCUACGGGACGCAGCAGUGGGGGAUAUUGCACAAUGGGGGGAACCCUGAUGCAGCGACGCCGCGUGGGUGAAGAAGUAUUUCGGUAUGUAAAGCCCUAUCGGCAGGGAAGAAAUUGGACGGUACCUGACUAAGAAGCCCUGGCUAACUACGUGCCAGCAGCCGCGGGAAUACGUAGGGGGCAAGCGUUAUUCGGAUUCACUGGGUGUAAAGGGAGCGUAGACGGCCAUGCAAGCCUGGAGUGAAAGCCCGGGGCCCAACCCCGGGACUGCUCUGGGAACUGUGGGGCUG
rnacentral:rRNA from 1 species